GAUGAACGCUGGCGGCGUGCUUAACACAUGCAAGUCGAACGGAAAGGCUCCUGCUUGCAGGGGUACUCGAGUGGCGAACGGGUGAGUAACACGUGGGUGAUCUGCCCUGCACUUCGGGAUAAGCCUGGGAAACUGGGUCUAAUACCGGAUAGGACGAUGGUUUGGAUGCCAUUGUGGAAAGUUUUUCGGUGUGGGAUGAGCUCGCGGCCUAUCAGCUUGUUGGUGGGGUAAUGGCCUACCAAGGCGUCGACGGGUAGCCGGCCUGAGAGGGUGUACGGCCACAUUGGGACUGAGAGACGGCCCAGACUCCUACGGGAGGCAGCAGUGGGGAAUAUUGCACAAUGGGCGCAAGCCUGAUGCAGCGACGCCGCGUGGGGGAUGACGGCCUUCGGGUUGUAAACUCCUUUCGCUAGGGACGAAGCGCAAGUGACGGUACCUGGAGAAGAAGCACUGGCUAACUACGUG
rnacentral:rRNA from 1 species